rnacentral:rRNA from 1 species
CUACGGGAUGCUGCAGUUAGGGAUAUUCGGCAAUGGGGGAAACCCUGACCGAGCAAUGCCGCGUGAAUGAAGAAGUAUUUCGAUAUGUAAAGUUCUGUUGUUAAGGAAGAAAGGUACGAAUAGGAAAUGAUUCGUAAUUGACGGUACUUAACCAGAAAGCCCCUGCUAACUACGUGCCAGCAGCAGCGGUAAUACGUAGGGGGCGAGCGUUAUCCGGAAUUAUUGGGCGUAAAGGGUGCGUAGGCGGCCUGUCAAGUCCGAGUUGAAAGCCCACGGCUUAACCGUGGAGGGUGCUCGGAAACUGCUAGGCUAGAAUCCAGAAGAGGCAAGUGGAAUUCUAUGUGGAGCGGUGGAAUGCGUAGAUAUAUGGAGGAACACCAGUGGCGAAGGCGGCUUGCUGGGCUGGUAUUGACGCUGAUGCACGAAAGCGUGGGGAGCAAACAGGAUUAGAUACCCUUGUAGUC